CCAGCCCCGAAGUUCAUUUUUUAAAUGUGGUCGGUCCUGUCACGUGUGCAUCAGUAGGUGGUAGAGAGGAGAGAGCCUAUGUCUGUGCUCAGUGUUCUUAUGAGCAUCCAAAUGAUUAGUAGCCUAACACU